rnacentral:rRNA from 1 species
UACGGGGGGGGCAAGCGUUGUUCGGAAUUACUGGGCGUAAAGGGCUCGUAGGUGGCCAACUAAGUCACACGUGAAAUCCCUCGGCUUAACCGGGGAACUGCGUGUGAUACUGGAUGGCUUGAGUUUGGGAGAGGGAUGCGGAAUUCCAGGUGUAGCGGUGAAAUGCGUAGAUAUCUGGAGGAACACCGGUGGCGAAGGCGGCACCCUGGACCAAUACUGACGCUGAGGAGCGAAAGCCAGGGGAGCAAACGGG